rnacentral:rRNA from 1 species
GAUCAUGGCUCAGGAUGAACGCUGGCGGCGUGCCUAAUACAUGCAAGUCGAACGAGGUAGCAAUACCGAGUGGCGAACGGGUGAGUAACACGUAGGUAACCUGCCCUUAAGCUUGGGAUACCCAGAGGAAACUUUGGCUAAUACCGGAUAACAACAGAGAAGGCAUCUUCUUUGCUUGAAAGGCCCCUUCAAGGGUCACUUAAGGAUGGACCUGCGGCGCAUUAGCUAGUUGGUGAGAUAACAGCCCACCAAGGCGAGGAUGCGUAGCCGAACUGAGAGGUUGAUCGGCCACAUUGGAACUGAGACACGGUCCAAACUCCUACGGGAGGCAGCAGUAAGGAGUUUUCGGCAAUGGGGGAAACCCUGAACCCGAGCAACGCCGCGUGAAGGAUGAAGGUCUUCGGAUUGUAAACUUCUUUGAUCAGGGACGAAAUUUUGACGGUACCUGAAGAACAAGUCACGGCUAACUACGUGCCAGCCGCUGC